GUUGAUGGAUGUGGUGAGGGAGGACAUGAGGAGAGUGGGUGUUAGAGAAGAAGAUGCACAAAAUAGGCUUAGAUGGGAAAAAGAUGACACCCUGUGGCAACCCCUAACGGGACAAGCCGCAAGAAAAAGAAGAAGUUUUCUGUAGCAUUUCAAAUUAAAAUCCUGGAGGCACUAAUUUACUUCCAUCUCUCUCUCUCUUUUUUUUUUUUUUUUUUUUUUUAAACAUUAGUGAGUACAUUUCCGAGUGCUCUCUGUUUUCGGCUUGCCCCCUCGGCACUCGCCGGAAUUGCUUUAAAGGAGUCGACCUCGGGCUUUAAGUACGCUUCCGAACGAACCGUCCUCUCAUGGCCGACGCCGCGCACACAUGCGUCGCACACAUUGUAAUUACCGAGGCAUUUUAAACACAGGGCGGACUCAGCUGACGCACGACAUCAAAGCCGGAGGAUUCGACAUACCGGCUGCACAAGAAAAGAUAACUCCCUCCAGCACCUCAGAUCCAGUUUUUUUUUAGUGGUGGUGGUGGUGGGGGGGGGGGUGUUGAGAGAAGAGCAGGCCCCUCCUCGUAAAAGAAAGGAGCGAAAAAGAAAAUCGCAGCCAUACGGGCUGCACUCCCCUGCCUGAACUUUAUCUGCGUUUUAAUGUCGGGGGAGGAGGAGUGUGUGUGAGUGUGUGUUGUGGGGCCAGUGGGUAAAGACGGGGCUAUACGUGCUCCUCCCUCGCGUCGUAUGUCAGCCAUUAGUGCAUCGCAGAGCGCUGGCACGGCGGCGAAGCGUAGUGGACCGCAGGAGCGCUUCGACCUCGCAGACAAAAAUGAGGGGAAACAACAAGAUGACCUUUAGGACCCAUGCGCACCCCCUCCCCCCGUCAGGCGGACACGAGUCAACGCUCGCUUCCUGCAGUCCAAUUCCAGUGGUCUGUCGACACACUCGCAGCCGUCAGAAAUCCACUUUGAGGCGGCCAAUCGAGGUGGGUCUAGAACGUCUCCCCAGCACUAAAGCAGUAUCAGCACACCCGACCUCGAUUUAAAAUAAAACAUGACGGGGACGCGAGGCAGGACGGUCAAGAGUCACGGGACAUCGCGAUCACGCACGAGUCAAAACAACGCUCGGUGCGGAAGCAGCUGGUAAGAAUGCUGACAAGAUGCAUCGAUGUGUUAUCCGGGCAAAUGUGAGCUGAAAUACGCCAUUUUCAACGACUGAUGACUUUCAGAUGCGCCAGUCCCGUUUUGUCUCGAUCGGGAUCAGACACACGGGUGGAAACGAUUCCCUGUCCAAUGCCGUUUCUGUCAAAACGUCAGCUUAAAACCCGACAUCCUCCGUUUGAUUCCGAAGUUUCAAUCUUUAAAAUGAUUGGCAGUGCGCGUAAGCACGUGCCGUUUCUUCCACGCCGCAUCCUUUUUAGGUCAACAGCACUCACAGAAGAUAUACCAAGCGACCAUAAGUCAAAGUGAAAUGCCAAAACAGCGGAGUUCGGGACUAAACAUUCCACAGAGGCGCCCCCAAGGAUAUGCAACACAGAUACGUAAAUGAAAGAGCCUUGCGCAAACAGCAUAUGUCUCGCAUACAGAAAAAGCUUGGCGGGAACGUCAAAAAGCAGUUGACCUUUGAGGCCGACAAAAAAGCUGAACUUCCUCUCGCCGCUAAAUAUCAGCCAGCUGUGUUUCUACUCAGGCAGCAGUUCUUAGAAAACCAAGAUCUCCACCCGCCGCUCUCAAAACACGGCCACAAACAAACUGACGCAAGAGCGCGACAGCGUGCUUUUAUGCUCGUUUCGCCGGGCUGACAUUCCUUUCCGGGCUUUGACCGGCCAAAAUGUCUCCCUUUACGCAACUGGAGGGAAAUUUUUCGUUUGAGUCUAAAGUAGAACGAAAUCUAUUCGGCAUCCAUACAAACUUUUUACUCUUGAUUUUAAAGUGAAAGCGGCUGUGGCGUAUGACAAACAGUGAUGCUCCAGGUGAUUUUUUUGUAAAAUUUUAGGUCCGCUGACGGUGUAGUGCAGGGGCGUCAAACUCAUUUUUGUCGCGGGCCACCUCGUAGUUACAAUUUCCCUCAGAGGGCCGUUAUGGUGAAACCUUAGAAAGCUCAAAUCGCCUCAUCAUAUUCACACAUGAGAUUUAUGAACGAGUUUUGGAAUCAGAAACCAAGCGUGAUGGGUUUUUCAACCAUUGUUCAUGUUUGGUAACACAAAAAUUGUUAUAAUAUCGCAACAUUAUCAUUUAUGUUAUGUGACAAUUUGAAAUGUUGGGACGUAUUUUCACAAGAAUUACAGAUUUUGACACCGAUGCAUUCGUGGGCCACAUGAAAAAGUGGCAGCCCGGAUCUGGCUCCCGGGCCUCGAGUUUGACACCUCUGGUGUAGUGCUGCACUUGCCUGACUUUGGGUUCAGAUGCCACUCAGUGACAAAAUUAGCGCAAAUGGUUAUUUGUGUCUAGAUGUUCCCUGUGACUGACGAGCGACCAGUUCAGGGUUGUAAGUCCGUCUUUCGCCCCAGCUAGGAUAAGAUCCUGCGUCCCUGACCAGGAUAAGCGGCGUUGAAGAAGGGUGGAGAAUUCAUUGCAAGCAGAUCACAUGUAUGAUGUUUUAUUUUAAAUGUCCUGGAAUCUACAGGGAGUCCUCGGUCUACGACUGAGAUCCGUUCGUACAGUAGCGACUUAACUCGGAUUCUACCAUUAAAGUUAGAAUUGACAUCAAAAUACUUUGUAUAAAAACCAAAUACAUUGUAAUCAACAAGAUGACGUACAUAGCAUGAGUGUUGAGAGGUGGAUGGAGAAGAAGAAGGGGAGGCGGUGCUUAGCUAUUGCGGAGGAACCUGGUCCUCAAUCCUCUCCAUCUGGAGAAGUAUCAAAGAACCUUGUUUUGUGAUUAUUGUAUCCGACAUCGGAACGGAACCCUUCACAAGGGCUAAAAUACGGGCUUUGUUUUUAAUAAUUGUCACCACGGUCGACCGACUGAAGCCUCGGUGGUGUUGCUGUCUCUCCUUUCUCCAAUCUUUUCAUGAUCUUGAGCCUCGUUUCCACGGUAAUGAAUUUUCUUAUGGCUUCAGAAGCAUUUCUAAAAGACACAGCUUUCUUCCUUGGGGCGAUAAUGUCGAAAAAGGAGGGCGAAAAAUGCGAAGACACUUCCGGCGCACACACACGGACAAGCAUGAGCCAGACAAAAUGGCGGACGGGAGAUGGGCGUUGUAAAGUCGAAAUGUCUUAGGUGGAGACCGUCUUAACCCGAGGAUUCCGUGUAUUCCUGUUUACAGAAAAAAAUCUGUUCACUUUCAUCCCAAAUGUGAACCGUGACCUAUAUAUCAAGGUACGUAUCAUACUAUAAUAUUUGCUAGUUUCCAUGAAGGAGUUCAGAGCAAUCCAGUUCAACUCGCAAACAAGGUCCAUCUUUUUGGUGGGAAUGGAAAGACCAGGACAGGACCAGGCUCCAUGGAGUCUGAGCCGCUAGCUUCAGGAAGUCCUCCUACGGGUUUAAAAGGCGCUGGGACGACGGCCCUCAAGGAAAGUCAGAGAGGAGCAGUGGACCAAACUUGUUCCGUCGGAAGCGACCUAACCGCUUCCAGACCGUCACGCACGGCCUCCUCUCAUUCGUCAUCGAUGCCUCUGGCCUGACGUUGUCGCUUAUUUCCUUCCAACUAACUCAGCAUAUAACAAUAAACCACAAUUAAGUGGGGCUCGUUAGAGCGAUGAUAAAUUGCUGAACUCACCACAGCUUUUCGAAUGAAGCGUAGUUUCAAAUGCACUUUUGUCUUUUGUCCUGAAAGGGCCACCAUAUGUUACCUUCUGUCAGACUGACGACAAAGGAGACAUGCGACUCCAACCUAAAGGGUGGGUGGGGGUGGUGGAAAGCCAUUUAGUGCGUUGCACAUCUGGCCCACAGUUCUGAAGUUCAAUGUUCCAAUCUCGACUCCUCUGCGGAGUUUCCAUGUUCUCUCCUAAACCAAACAUGUUAUGAUAAUUAAAGAUCUAAAUCAGGGCCUUUCAAACUGGUUUGGGCGCCAAAUCAUUUGCAAUCCAGCAUUAUGUCGUGUCACUUAAGGACACACUUGUGUGGAUAUGGGGAUUGGCGGCAAGUAAAAGAAACCAAUUACUUGUCCCGACAUUAGCUUAGAGCCAAUUAAAAGCUCUGAUUAUGAUUGUGAUGCAUCAUCACAUGACGAAUAAAGUCAUCUUUUAACAACAGAAGGCGCAUUAUUUACAAGAAUAAAUAAAAAACGGGCAUCUUUUGAGAACAUUGUGUCGAUCCAUUUUAUCCAAGAAUAUGGACUAUGAUCCUAAUUUCAGAGAAAAUAUACCCCUCCCCCCAAAAAAUUAAAUGAUAUGAAGAGUAUCAAGUCAAGAAUAAAGUAUUUUUGAAGUUUACUUGGUAAACGAUGACCUCUUCCCUCUUUAAACUUUAACCUAAUACCAUCAUAUUGUGACUUUAUCUUGGCAAAACUAUUACCGUAAUUCCCGGCCUACAGAGCGCACCUGGUUCUAAGCCGCACCCAGUACGUUUGUCAAGGAAAUACCAUUUGGUACAUACAUACGCUGCGGCCGUGUAAGAGCCGCAAGUGCCCACAUUGAAACCCGCAUUGAAACACGAGAUAUUUACAAAGAAAGAUGCUAUACAGAAAGAGUUUAACGCUAGCGCCGCUACGCUAACGCUAGCAACGCCGGGCUAACAUGGCCGGUUAAAGAAACAUACUGGUAAAAAUCAUUGAGACAUGGCACUAACUAAGUAACUAACCAACUAACAUGGCCGGAGCGGUAAAACUCACUUCCUCGGUACAUAGAUUCCAUGCCGCAUCACUGCAUAAACCGCAGCGUCGAAAGCGUGUGCAAAAAGUCAUGGCUUAUACGGUACUUUCAUUCUCGUAAGAAAUAUCGGAUGUCUUUGGUCUUGCAAAGAUUAACCCUUUUUUUUUUCCUCUUGGAAAGAAGACUUUUGCUUGAUUUAAAAAAAAAAGAAAGAUUUUCUAAACAAUUUGAAUUUGUUCUUGCUUCCAUUAUGACUUUGGCGACUUGGUAAUUGCUAUUGUACGCUAAUGAGGACGUCUGCUGUAGAAAACUAUUGCGACAGACUGAAAUGAAAGACACCAUCGGAAGGAAGGAAGCAAGACGAGCCUGAGCGAGAAGGAAACACGAGCCCGAUGAUGCCACGGGCAGUGGACCCCACUUGCGCGGGCCUGACAGGUUUGAGGCGCAUUCUACCCUCGGGCCAAAGUCAAGCGUGUCAACGUUGUGCAUGUGGAUUUCAUUUGGGACGACUCCAUCCACGGGAAGGCACCUCACCAGGAAACGGUAUGUUUUUAUUAGAAGCCGGCAGCCCUUAAACAAGUGAAAUGGAUCUUUUCCCGGCCAAUCGAUCCCACGUGGCCACCCGACACAAUCUGACGACCGCUUCCAACUUCGUUCACACUCCUGACGUUCUGCUUUUCUACUUCCUGCGCAAUAAAUAUGCCAACUGUGUUGUGUCUUUUCUUUUGGACAAAUGUGAUUUCAUGUUUGACGGUGGUGGGCAACAGCAAGUUAUAACCGAAGCAGUCUCGCCCAAUUAGGGUGAUCGAGAGGAGAAAAAAAAAGUCACUACAAAGGCGUGAAAGUACAAACUACAUGAAUCAAGAAUCUGAAUCAGAAUCAACCAUUUUCCCCCCAGAAGUGCCACAAGAAUUCCAGAUGACCGCUGUUGCAAUUGAGUAACAACAGGUAACUACAGUGACAGGUACGAAAAAAAAAAAAAAAAAAAGAUUGCUGUGACGCAAGGUAAGGCUACUACAUGAAUAUGACGUUAUGAAGAAACAAGUGUCCUUUUUUUAGUAAAUAACAUGUUCAAUGAGAUUCAUCCCAGGAGUCACUGUUUGUAUGAGAUGUAUUGUUUUGUAGCUUCUUUUUUCAGAUUUAUAAGCGCGUUUUCUAUCUGUACAUACUAGUGGAAUAUUAGUUGUCUUAGUGUUCUCCUACAAAAAACUAUGAUUAUGAUAAUUCAAUAUGCACAAAAAUAUGUAUAUAUACAUACAUAUACAAAUAUAUAUACACACGUAUAUACAUCUAUAUAUAUAAAUACAUAUACACACAUAUAUAUACAGUGUAUACAUAUACACAAAUACCUAUGAUUAUGAUCAACGUGUUAUAAAUAUACAUAUAUAUACAGUAUAUAUUGUAUAUAUUUGUGUUAUAUAUAUAUAUACAUACAUUUGAAGUUUUCAGUUGGUAUUGCAAUUGUUUUACUUUUUAAAAUAGUUUAGUGUAUAAUAAUUGAUUAUAAAAAUGAUUAUUACAAUAUCCUAAUAAAAAAUAUGAAGUAUUGUGUACAUAUUUGUAUAUUAUUUAGCAUAACAAGGCAUUAGGCUCAGAAGUAGACAUUAAAAUUAGUUAUACAGUAUUUUAAUAUCAUUCAUGAUUAGGAAUUAAUAAUACAUGUUUUUAUCGUAUAAAUAUUUUCAUUUGUAUUUUUUCAAUGUGACAGAUAUAGGACAGAAUAUUUGGUGUCUGUGUCUAUGAAAGCUUUUGCAAUCAAUUAAUUGUUGGAAAUUAUCUUUAGCUUUAUAAUAAUCGAUUGUACAUAUUUGUACCAGCAUAAUAAAGUUUGUUUCAAAUACUUCUUGUGGGAUUAAGUUGUAUGUUCCCUUUCAUCUGAUGUAUAAUAUUAAAUUCUGUAAGCAUGUGCAAUAUUUUGUGUGCAUGG